AUGAAUCCUCUCAAUGAGCUUGUAUCACUGUGGUACACGUUUGGUAGCGGCACCAGACUGAAUGUUCUCGGCACCACCAGGCAGCCCAGUGUGACGGUGCUGCCUCCCUCCAGAGAGGAGCUGUCCAGUGGGGGCUCUGCCACACUGCUGUGCCUGGCUGACAAGGGCUUCCCCUCAGACUGGAGCCUGAGCUGGAAGGUGGAUGGCAGCAGUAGGAGUGGAGUGGCCAGUGCUGGGCUCAUGAAGGACGGUGUGUACAGCUGGAGCAGCAGCCUGACCCUCACUGAUGCUGAGUGGAGAGGAGCCACCUCAGUGGUGUGUGAGGCCAGCCAGGGAUCCCAGAGAGCCGUCAGCAAAGCCCUGAGCAGAGCUGACUGCUCCCAGUAGCCUCCAGCCUCUGCUCUGCUCUGCUCUGCUCUACAGCUUACAGCUUCUCUUCCAGCUCCAUACACACUCCAACAACACACUGCACCACAUAUAGUCUCACAUCUCACUCGCCUGCUUCUGAUGAGCUCUGAUGCACAUCAGCUGUUAAUGUCAAUGCAAGACUUGGGUUUUAAUUGGAAGAAUUUCUGUGAUGUGUGAU